CACCACAUUCAAAAUGGGCGCCAGAGGGAGCGUUUCAUACCUGAGGCGAGGCUGCACGGUGAUUGGUGGGCGGGAGGCGGGAGCCGCUCCCCCGCCAGGAAGAAGGCGCCAAGGCACAUGCCGCCAUUUCACCCGCUAGAUUUCGCCUAUAUCUCUGUGUUGGCUGUAAAUGAAGACUUCGCCAGUGUUCCAUUCCAAGCCUCAUCUACCCACGAAGCUUUGACGUGCUUCAGCUGCCUCCCCAGACGCCUCCAGCUCAAGCGGAGGACACCACAUUCAAAAUGGGCGCCAGAGGGAGCGUUUCAUACCUGAGGCGAGGCUGUGCGGUGAUUGGUGGGCGGGAGGCGGGAGCCGCUCCCCCGCCAGGAAGAAGGCGCCAAGGCACAUGCCGCCAUUUCUCCCGCUAGAUUUCGCCUAUAUCUCUGUGUUGGCUGUAAAUGAAGACUUCGCCAGUGUUCCAUUCCAAGCCUCAUCUACCCACGAAGCUUUGACGUGCUUCAGCUGCCUCCCCAGACGCCUCCAGCUCAAGCGGAGGACACCACAUUCAAAAUGGGCGCCAGAGGGAGCGUUUCAUACCUGAGGCGAGGCUGUGCGGUGAUUGGUGGGCGGGAGGCGGGAGCCGCUCCCCCGCCAGGAAGAAGGCGCCAAGGCACAUGCCGCCAUUUCUCCCGCUAGAUUUCGCCUAUAUCUCUGUGUUGGCUGUAAAUGAAGACUUC